ensembl:lncRNA
GUUUAUUUGUAAUGAAAAGCUAAUUGCCAAUAUUUCUAAUCAAGAGAUUUCAAACUAAAACACCCAAGUAAACAUCCAACUGAUCACGAGAAAUCGGUGUCGCAGCACUUGAGCAAGACAGAGGGGUGCCAGAUGGCCCUGGUCCCCCGCCCCGCCUCUAGGGAUGCGCCUCCAAAAAACGCCUCCCUGGAUAACCCGCCACCUAAGGACAACCGUCUGGGGACCGCUCGGCGGGCGCCUAAUUGGCUGCGGACUCCGAACCUCUUGGCGCGCCUCGCUCUCCGGCUUGUGAGCCCUGGAGCCCGCAGAUCGGUCUUGGGACUUCUAGGGCCGGGAGGCGCGGGCGGAGAGGACUGGCGAGUCCAAGGCGCUGCUCGGAUUCCUCGGCGCCGGCCUGCCCGCAGGCCUGCUAUUGCCCACCGGCUACGGGGCCCGGCCUCCCCGCCGCGCCUCUAAGCAGGGGGACUCCCCGGCGGGCGCGCCACACAACGUCUCCCUCUGGCGCGCGCACCGGCCACUCCACAGCCCGGCCGCCGAGGACGCCGCGUCGCCGCCGCAGCCUGGCGCGCUCCCGACCCGCCAGCCAAUAGCCAGAGUCGCUCGGUGCACGUGAUACGCGUCAGCCAAUGGAGAGUCGAGGAGGUCCGUGACGCAAUGGACAGCUCCUAGGGUUUUCGAACCCGCGGGCGAGGCUAAAAGGCUGAUCAGGGCUGUGUGGUCGAGCGCUGAGCCUACGGCGUGUGCGUAGAAAGCGCGAGGACCCUCAGGGCGGUGAGAGAGCGCGGCUGCCAGCCUGCAGCACGGGGCAUUGACUCCCCAGGCGCCCCGUGCAGAGUCGCAGGGCACUAUCUUGGAUGUUUUAUUGCUGUGAAGAGACACCGUGACCAUAGCAGCUCUUCUAAAGGAAAUCGUGUAAUUGGGACUCACAGUUUCAGAGCCCCAAAUACUACUACUACUGCUGCUGCUACUGCUGCUGCUGCUGCUGCUGCUGCUGCUGCUGCUGCUGCUGCUGCUGCUAUUACUACUACUACUGCUGCUGCUGCUGCUGCUGCUGCUGCAAAUGGAUGACUUCAAAACUGUAAAAUGACCGGCCGAGGGUGAGCACCUGACCAGUGCUUUGGAAAUGGCUUUAUGUUUAGGUUUCGAGACGAUACAUGGUUGGAGAAAAUGUACUGUGUCUGUUACUCACUGAAUCACACGACACCUGACCAAACAACUUAAGGAAAGAAAGGUUUGUUUUGGCUCAUGGUUUGAGGGCUGAGGCCAUCACUGUGUGGGAGUUGUGGCUGCAGAAGCAUUAGGGCAGCAUCUACAGUCAGGAAGCAGAAAGUGAGCUCUUUUCUUCUCUCUUUUUUUCUAAAAUCAGUCUGGGCUACCAGCCCGUUCAAUGUUUCCAUCCGUAUUUUGAGGGACUCUUUCCACUUCGGUUAACCUAAUUGGGGGCGAGGGAGGAGGCAGACAUGCUCAGAGGUUUGUUUCUAUAGCGAUUCUAAAUUUCAUCACGUAGACAAUGAAGAAGAAGCACCACACGUCAGUGAUCCCAGUAGCCCACUUGUUGACUGUGUUCUAUGCUAAGCACGUUGCACAUUUCUUCAAGCUCCAUGGUAUCCCUACAGGUCAAACAUUUUAAGAAAAGAAUUAUGUAUUAUUUAUUUAUGCCUGCCAAUGUGUGUACGCACAUAUAUACACCAGAAGAAGGCCUCAGAUCUGGAGCUGGAGUUGUGAGCUGUCUGAUGUGGGUCCUACGAAACAAACUCCAGUCUGGUAUUCUGCAGGAAGGACAAGGACAUCUCUCUGGUCAACUUCUUAUCCUCGCCAUUUCUUCCUUCUCUUUGUUCCCUUUUCUUUCUCUUGUUGCCUAGGCUGAUCUCUAAAGCAGGAGCUAACGUGACCUCUGAACUCAGCUCCUGACAUAGCCAGGACUAUGCGCAGCACCACAUCUGUCCAUUUCGGUUUUACAUGAGGGAUAGAAGGACCCUAAGGGACACAGUGAAUAAGCGGAGGAAAUGAAGGGUUAAAAACCCCAGAACCGAGUGACUACAGUGUCCAAGUCGAUUUUCAGCAUUAUAGCGUAGCCUCUUUUUUUUUUUUUUUUUGUUCUUUUUUUUCGGAGCUGGGGACCGAACCCAGGGCCUUGCGCUUCCUAGGUAAGCGCUCUACCACUGAGCUAAAUCCCCAGCCCCACAGCGUAGCCUCUUAAAAGUCCACACAUCGCUUCCAGGGACUAAGCCACUACUUAAAGACUAUACAUGGACUGACCCUGGGCUCCAACCUCAUAGGUAGCAAUGAAUAUCCUAGUAAGAGCACCAGUGGAAGGGGAAGCCCUGGGUCCUGCUAAGACUGAACCCCCAGUGAACUAGAUUGUUGGGGGGAGGGCG